GGCUCCAUAGCUCAGGGGCUAGAGCAUUGGUCUUGUAAACCAGGGGUCGUGAGUUCAACUCUCGCUGGGGCCU
rnacentral:tRNA from 1 species